ACACCUCUAAAAGUAAUAAGUAUGCAAUCAUGACUAUACUCAUUUACGUCAGGUCAAAGUGCAGCUAAUGAGAUGGUAAUGAUGGGUUACAUCCUAAACAAAGAUACGAAAUAGGACACUAAAAGUCAUAUAAAGGUGGACUUGGACGUAAUAAUAAUACCAAAUUAUAAUGAAAACGAAUCUAAGACAUGCACACAUCGCCCGUCACUCUCACCCGAAGGUGAGAUAAGUCGUAACAAAGUAGGUGUAACGGAAGUUGCACCUGU
rnacentral:rRNA from 1 species